AACGAACGCUGGCGGCAGGCCUAACACAUGCAAGUCGAACGGAACCUUCGGGUUUAGUGGCGCACGGGUGAGGAACACGUGGGAAUGUACCCUUGAGUAAGGAAUAAUAUCUGGAAACGGAUACUAAUACCUUAUAAUGACUUCGGUCCAAAGAUUUAUCGCUCAAGGAUCAGCCCGCGUAUGAUUAGAUUGUUGGUGAGGUAAUGGCUCACCAAGUCUACGAUCAUUAGGGGGUCUGAGAGGACGAUCCCCCACACUGGUACUGAGACACGGACCAGACUCCUACGGGAGGCAGCAGUGAGGAAUAUUGGACAAUGGGCGAAAGCCUGAUCCAGCCAUGCCGCGUGUAUGAAGAAGGCCUUAGGGUUGUAAAGUACUUUCAAUAGUGAAGAUUAUGACGGUAACUAUAGAAGAAGCCCCGGCUAAAUUCG
rnacentral:rRNA from 1 species